rnacentral:rRNA from 1 species
GACGAACGCUGGCGGCGUGCUUAACACAUGCAAGUCGAACGGAAAGGCCCUGCUUUUGUGGGGUGCUCGAGUGGCGAACGGGUGAGUAACACGUGAGUAACCUGCCCUUGACUUUGGGAUAACUUCAGGAAACUGGGGCUAAUACCGGAUAGGAGCUCCUGCUGCAUGGUGGGGGUUGGAAAGUUUCGGCGGUUGGGGAUGGACUCGCGGCUUAUCAGCUUGUUGGUGGGGUAGUGGCUUACCAAGGCUUUGACGGGUAGCCGGCCUGAGAGGGUGACCGGCGACAUGGGGACUGAGAUACGGACCAGACUGCAACGGGAGGCAGCAGGGGGGAAUAUUGCACAGUGGGCGGAAGCCUGAUGCAGCAACGCGGGGUGCGGGAUGACGGCCUUCGGGUUGUAAACAGAUUUCGCCUGUAACGAAGAGGGAGUGACGGUAAUGGGUAAAGAAGCAACGGCUAACUACGUG